CUACGGGCCGCUCCAGGCGCGAAACCUUUACAAUGUACGUAAGUGCGAUAAGGGAACUCCCAGUGCUCAUGUAAUGCAUGGGCUUUUGUUAAGUGUAAAUAGCUUGGCGAAUAAGUGGUGGGUAAGACGGGUGCCAGCCGCCGCGGUAACACCUGCGCCACGAGUGGCAUUCACGUUUACUGGGCCUAAAGCGUUCGUAGCCGGAUAGGUAAGUCUUAAGUGAAAUCGUUGCGCUUAACAAAACGACGUGCUUGAGAUACUGUUUAUCUAGGGACCGGGAGGAGUUAGGGGUAUUCCAGAGGGAGCGGUAAAAUGCUGUAAUCUCUGGAGGACCACCUGUGGCGAAGGCGCCUAACUAGAACGGGUCCGACGGUGAGGAACGAAAGCCAGGGGAGCAAAACGGAUUAGAUACCCCCGUAGUC
rnacentral:rRNA from 1 species